CAAACGGAUUCCUUAGAAUCCAUAAUAAACUCUGCAUGAAGAGCUCG
rfam:Nicotiana sylvestris Nsyl_contig76995, whole genome shotgun sequence.